AUUGAACGCUGGCGGCAGGCCUAACACAUGCAAGUCGAGCGAGCGGCGGACGGGUGAGUAAUGUCUGGGGAUCUGCCCGAUGGAGGGGGAUAACUACUGGAAACGGUAGCUAAUACCGCAUACUAUCGGCUGUCCCCAGCUGGGAUUAGCUAGUAGGUGGGGUAAUGGCUCACCUAGGCGACGAUCCCUAGCUGGUCUGAGAGGAUGACCAGCCACACUGGGACGGAGACACGGUCCAGACUCCUACGGGAGGCAGCAGUGGGGAAUAUUGCACAAUGGGCGCAAGCCUGAUGCAGCCAUGCCGCGUGUAUGAAGAAGGCCUUAGGGUUGUAAAGUACUUUCAGCGGGGAGGCGUUACACGCAGAAGAAGCACCGGCUAACUCCGUGCCAGCAGCCGCGGUAAUUC
rnacentral:rRNA from 1 species